UACGUAGGUGGCAAGCGUUGUCCGGAUUUACUGGGCGUAAAGAGCGCGCAGGCGGUCGUUCAAGUCGCGUGUGAAAGCCCCCGGCUCAACUGGGGAGGGUCACGCGAUACUGAUCGACUCGAAGGCAGGGGAGGGUAGUGGAAUUCCCGGUGUAGUGGUGAAAUGCGUAGAUAUCAAGAGGAACACCUGAGGUGAAGACGGGUUGCUGGGCUGACACUGACGCUGAGGCGCGAAAGCCAGGGAGCAAACGGG
rnacentral:rRNA from 1 species